GAUGAACGCUGGCGGCGUGCUUGACACAUGCAAGUCGAGCGGGGUCUUAUGUUGCGCUUGCGCAACAUUUGGCCUAGCGGCGGACGGGUGAGUAACGCGUGGGUAACCUGCCUUAUACAGGGGGAUAACGUACUGAAAAGUACGCUAAUACCGCAUAAGCGCACGGGUCCGCAUGGACCUGUGUGAAAAACUCCGGUGGUAUAAGAUGGACCCGCGUCUGAUUAGCUAGUUGGUGAGGUAACGGCUCACCAAGGCGACGAUCAGUAGCCGACCUGGGAGGGUGAUCGGCCACAUUGGGACUGAGACACGGCCCAAACUCCUGCGGGAGGCAGCAGUGGGGAAUAUUGGACAAUGGGCGAAAGCCUGAUCCAGCAACGCCGCGUGCGCGAUGACGGCCUUCGGGUUGUAAAGCGCUUUUCGGGGGGAUGAGGAAGGACAGUACCCCCGGAAUAAGUCUCGGCUAACUACGUGCCAGCCGCCGCAGUAACAC
rnacentral:rRNA from 1 species